AAUAGAAAAGUUUAAAACGUUAAAUUGUAAAUUUAAAAUAAUUGCUUUGGGCAAUUUCUAUUA
rnacentral:tRNA from 1 species